AACGAACGCUGGCGGCAUGCCUAACACAUGCAAGUCGAACGAGAUCUUCGGGUCUAGUGGCGCACGGGUGCGUAACGCGUGGGAAUUUGCCCUUUGGUUCGGAAUAACAGUUGGAAACGACUGCUAAUACCGGAUGAUGACGAAAGUCCAAAGAUUUAUCGCCAGAGGAUGAGCCCGCGUAGGAUUAGCUAGUUGGUGUGGUAAAGGCGCACCAAGGCGACGAUCCUUAGCUGGUCUGAGAGGAUGAUCAGCCACACUGGGACUGAGACACGGCCCAGACUCCUACGGGAGGCAGCAGUGGGGAAUAUUGGACAAUGGGCGAAAGCCUGAUCCAGCAAUGCCGCGUGAGUGAUGAAGGCCUUAGGGUUGUAAAGCUCUUUUACCCGGGAUGAUAUGACAGUACCGGGAGAAUAAGCUCCGGCUAACUCCGUGCCAGCCGCCGCAGUAA
rnacentral:rRNA from 1 species